rnacentral:tRNA from 1 species
GGAGUGUUUGGCUCGGCGAGAGCACGUGAUUAGCAUGCACGAGGUCCUGGGUUCAAUCCCCAGUGCCUCCA